rnacentral:lncRNA from 1 species
UCAACUAGAGGCUUUCCUUCAAUAGGCGAAGGCCAACCACCCUUUUACAGUUUCACUCCUUUUGACGGGCUUAGGAGACAACCCUUACAUAAAUUUUCUCUCCUCUCUUUAAAACUCAGAACUUGGAAGAACAGAGGGAGAAGAACUUUUGGCCUUUACAACAAUUUUGAGCUCUAAGAAUCACAGAAAAAGAUCAAGAUUUCGGUGUAUGUCUGUGCUCUUUCAGUGCUGAAUGGGUGGGGUAUUUAUAGGCC